rnacentral:snRNA from 1 species
GCGCUCGCUUUGGCAGUGCAUAUACUAAAAUUGGACCCAUACAGAGAAGAUUAGCGUAGCCCCAUGUGCAAGGAUGACGCACAAAUAAAUUCGUGAAGCGUUCCAUAUUUAA